rnacentral:lncRNA from 1 species
AAGGAUUUCAAAAUUAAUAUUUGAUAGUAGUAACAAAUAUUGUAGUAACACGCUGUUUCACUUCUCUUAUGUUCCUUAUCUCCCAAUUUUGAAUAGGAAAUGUGCAGACUGUUUUUUUUCCCUAUGCUAUUUUUCUCACUUUGGCUGCUGUGGGCAUCACUUGUAAACAGGAGGCUUUCUGAUGCCUUCCUCGGGCACAGCAGUGAAGAGGCAUAAAUGACCAUACUUGUUGAAAGUCAAAAGGAUGAAUUCUUAAAGGCUCUGACGGUGCGAAAUGUGUUCAUGGCUUCCUUAGGCUGAAAUCGCUAGCAGUGGAAAGAAGGGAACACAUCCACUUAAUCUCUUCUCAGUUCCUUUAGCAGAAAUUGUAUGUGCUUUAAAAGGUGGGAAAAAUAAUUCUCAUAAGAAUUAUCACUCUUACAAUAAUAAUUUAUUUUAUAUCUCUUUUUUACAUUAAAACCACUUUAGGUGGAGCACAGAGGAUUCUUAGGGGAGUGAAACUAUUCUGUAUGAUACUAUAAGGGUGGAUACAUGUCAUUAUACAUUUGCCAAAACCCAUAGGCUUUGAGUGAACCCUAAUGUGCACUAUGGACUUUGGGUGAUUACAAGGUGUUAAUGUAUAUUCAUCUAUUAUAACAAAUGGACCCUCUGAUGCAGGAUGUCUAGAGUGGAGACUGGCUGUGCCUGUGUGGGUAACGGGCUGUGGGGAAAUUGCAUUUUCUUUUUCUUUUUCUCUUUUUUUUUUUUUUUUUGAGAUGGAGUCUCACUCUGUCACCCAGGCUGGAGUGCAGUGGCACAAACUCACUCACUGCAACCUCCAUCUCCUAGGUUCAAGAGACUCUCCUACCUCAGCCUCCUGAGUAGCUGGGACUACAGGCGCACACCACCACACUCAACUAAUUUUCGUAUUUUUAGUGGAGAUGAGGUUUCACCAUGUUAGUCAGGCUGAUUUUGAACUUCUGACCUCAAAUGACCCACCCACCUUGGCCUCCCAAAAUGCUGGGAUUACAGGCGUGAGUCACUGUGCCCAGCCUGGAAACGGCAUUUUCUACUCAAUUAUUUUACUGGGAACCCAAGACUGAUCUUUAAAAGCUUAUUUCAAAAAACACUCUAAAUUACGCCUAAUAAAAAGGAUUGGCUUAAAUAAGGUAAAGAUCUAAACUCUAUUUUUUUAACUGUAGUUUGACUUUUAUUCUUAUGUUAUUAUCUAAGAGCUAAUAAUAUGCUCUAAACAGAAAGCCUUUGAUGACAAACUUCAGUAAAUAAUGAAGAUUGUUUGUAAGUAGUAUAUCGAUUACUUUAUGUAAAUAGUUCUUCCAAAGAACUUGAAAAAUCAUUCUUACACUAGACAACAUAUUAUUUUAUUUUUCUUUUUUUUGAGACAGGGUCUCCCUCUGUCGCCUAGGCUGGAGUGCAGUGGUGCUAUCUCAGCUCACUGCAACGUAUGCCUCCCGGAUUCAAAUGAUUCUCUCGCCUCAGCCUCCUGAGUAGCUGAGGUAACAGGCACACGCCGCCAC